AUCAUGGAGAGUUCGAUCCUGGCUCAGAACGAACGCUGGCGGCGCGUCUUAAGCAUGCAAGUCGAGCGGGAAUACCUAGCUUGCUAGGUAUGAGAGCGGCGGACUGGUGAGUAACACGUAGAUAACGCACCCUUUAGACGGGGAUAGCUGCCAGAAAUGGCAGAUAAUACCGGAUGUGAACGUAUGCCGUGAAGGUGUACGUGGAAAGGAGCUUCGGCUCCGCUAGAGGAACGGUCUGCGGCCCAUCAGCUGGUUGGCGGGGUAAAGGCCCACCAAGGCGAUGACGGGUAUCCGGCCUGAGAGGGUGA
rnacentral:rRNA from 1 species